rnacentral:rRNA from 1 species
UGGGGAAUUGUUCGCAAUGGGCGCAAGCCUGACGACGCAACGCCGCGUGGAGGAUGAAGGUCUUCGGAUUGUAAACUCCUGUUGACCGGGAAGAAUUCCCCUGGGGUUAACACCCCUGGAGGUUGACGGUACCGGUUGAGGAAGCCCCGGCUAACUCUGUGCCAGCAGCCGCGGUAAUACAGAGGGGGCGAGCGUUGUUCGGAAUUACUGGGCGUAAAGGGCGCGUAGGCGGCCGACUAAGUCAGACGUGAAAUCCCCUGGCUCAACCAGGGAACUGCGUCUGAUACUGGCUGGCUUGAAUCCGGGAGAGGGAUGUGGAAUUCCAGGUGUAGCGGUGAAAUGCGUAGAUAUCUGGAGGAACACCGGUGGCGAAGGCGGCAUCCUGGACCGGUAUUGACGCUGAUGCGCGAAAGCCAGGGGAGCAAACGGG